AUGGGAAAAAUACCAAGUGGUUGUAACCCCCGAGCCUUGCUUGAUUGCGCUUGUCCUCAAGGUAGGUCUCACCUAUAUGCGAAACAACUAUUUAAACGUUAUUUUAAAGAACAUAACCAAAACUAGGUAAUAACUUCUCAUACAUUGCUCAAUUGGGGUAUUUGAAUAUACCACCAAGACCUACUCAACCUCAAGAACAUCCCUAUAUUUUUAGAAAAAAUUUCCAACCACUCACGCGCUGGCUAAGGCACGGCAAGACACGCAGGCACGUGUCUGGCACACCAAAUGGAAUCCCUAAUGGCUUUAGGGAAUAUUCCGUUAAAUAAAAACAUAUGCCGUUAAAUAUACCUGACGCCGUUAGCAUAUUCCGUCAACUUUGAGGGAAUAUUCUAUUCCUUCAAUCUCAGCUCGCCGAAGUCCGAUGCCGGUGACCUCUACAACUGCCAGUUUCUGGAAAAACUUCUAAUCGUCAUAUCUCACUCAUUUCAACACCAAACUUCACGAAAUUUAAACCAAAAUGAAGCUUAGGAUGAGAGGAACAAAACCUUACCACUUUUAGGUCCUAAAACUUAAGGGAUCUCGCUGGAAAAAUUACGAUAAUUCGGCCACCUCUGCAACUUGAUGAACUUGGAUUUUCCGACGUCCAAAACUUUCAAAAUCCUUCCCUAAGCUUCGUGAAGCAGUUCUAAGUCUCACUAGAACCUUAAAACUCGAUGAAACCUCCGUGAUCACGACGGAAUCAUUGUGCACCUCGUCGGGGGUUUUUGGUUCUCGGGUUUUCGAGGGCCUCAUGUCCAACCAAAACUACAACUCGACUCCUGAGCUUGAAAGAAGCACGAAAAUAACAUCCACAACCUCGAUCCGUGAAAUAUGAUGAGAGCUGAAGGCUUGUCCGUACAAUUGUACGAACGAAUGGAAAAAUUCGAGAGGGAGAAGAGAGAAAGUCAACGGGAGAGUAUGUGUGAGGGUGUGUGUGGUCCAGCUACCAAACAACAACAAAAACCAUUAACUUUACAUUCCAAAAACUUAGGAAUAAAUUAGAUUGGUCCAAAACCUAAGUUUAAACCACACCACCAUAUAAUAUACUCAACGUCCAAUGGUAUAAUCAACAUUCCACGCAAUCGAAGACAAAAAUAGCUUAUUUUUCAGGACGGGCUGUCACCUGGAAUGAAUGGAAAAAGCAUCCAAGGAAAAAUGAUAUUGCAAUAUGACCUAGAAAUCAAAAUGUAUAUGAUAUAUUUAGACAAGAAUGUAGUCAAUUAAAAGCUAAGAGACAAAUUAGGAAACAAUUUUAUAUGAGCUAUAAAAAUAUAAACUUACCACAACAGUAUGGUUGUCAUAAGAAAAAUAAACAUAAGAAAAUAUACUGAACGAAAUAUAAGUCAUAUAAACCAUACAAUCAUCAUAAGAAUUUUAGCAUAAGACUUUCAAGAAUAUAUAGGAAGAGAAAACAUAUUCCAAAACAAUUUAGGAAAAGAAGUGACAGAUCUUGGAUUAAAAAAUUUAAAGCACCAAAAGAUAAAAGUAAUUGUGAAUGUUAUCUAUGUGGAGAAAUUGGAUAUAUUAGACCUAAAUGCCCAAAAUUAGGAAAACAGCCGAGAGAUAAAGUAUAUUUAAUUGAGUUGUUUAAAUUAGAAGAAGAAGAAUAUAUUUAGUCAAUAUAUAGUUUAGAUGAUUUAAGUGAUAACGAGUGACACCCCGUCCCGAAUGAGGGCAUGCUGGCCGUCACGUGAGAAUGACGUAACCAUUUACACAGUUCGGAAGCUUUAAAGAUACAAUUACUAAGAUGUAACACCCGAGGUAAGUCUUACUUUUGUGAAUUCUGUCAGAACACCGUUGGAUUCCUCGUGGCCACCAAAACUCUGCUAUCUUGAACAUGGAGGGGCGUAAAACAAAGUUGAGUGGGUCAGUAAAACAAAGUUUUUCGAAAAUCAUCUCAUUAUCAAAACACUAACCCCUCGCUGUAAAACCCGUAUACUUUCCCAGAAAAUAGUAUAUACAUAACCAUAUAUAACAAACUCAAAUCACCAGUCUUUAACACCUUUCAAGAAAUAUGCCAUGCUAUGCUUUAAAACAUAAUAAGGAUGUAUCAAUAUAACAGGUGAAAUAAUGAAUCAACUGAAGACCAUGCAGCUGUCCUGUACGGUUAAUUCUAUAGCUCAAUAUCCAAUCCAACCGAAGUCACCACUGUGACCUGUACGGAACUACUCUGCACAUAAACCGGAACUACCUGAAGUAGUCUGUACGACAAGAAUGGUGUAAGAAUACGCUCUAGUGCUUCUCUCAUCAACAGCUGUAUAACAAUCUAAAGUCACCUACAAGUCGGAACCACCUCUAAUGCUCUGUACGACAUGUCGAAACCACCUCUAGUGAUCUGUACGACAUGCACCUACUUGGAUCCAAGGUGAGCGUGUGGUGCGGGGUGAAUAAUAUAAGCACUAACACCAGGAGUGCAGGUUAUGAGCUCUCAACACAAUUCACAUCAUCAAUAAUCACAUGAACAAAAUAAAACUCACCUGAUACUCACUUGUGCGUCCACAACACCAUUUAACAUAUAUGCAUCAAAUAUUAAUUCAUAUAUUUCAUAUAUUAUGUAUGCAUGACAUUUAAAACAUACUUUCAUUUAAAUUAAAUUUCUGGGAAAAAUCAAUAGUAUAUAGGUAUAUACAGAAAAUAACUGCCCACUUACCUGGAGUUCACCCUACAACUCCCUAGCACAACACAUCAAGGCGUCAUGAUGAUCGGCGCCUAGAACAAUCAUCAAAUCAAACCUCAAAAAUCAUAUCGAUAGAAUAUAUAAUUUAUAUAAAACACGUCACUACGUAGUUCGAUCCGGAAGAUCUGCAACUCAGAUUUCCAAUCCAUAACUUUCAGAUGUCCAUAAUAUAUCUCUAGAACAUCCUAAAAUUUCCUUACCAUCCAACGGUCGGAUCUUCGUCAAUUGUCAAAACCAAGUGACGGUUAACAUUCUAUUUCAUGAACUUACAACUCCAAUUCCGGAAGAUCCGUAAAUCGGAUUCCCAAUCAGUAAGUUCCUAUAAUCCUCAAAUAUUACGUAUUACAACGUAUCAAAGUUUGGUGACAAUCCAACGGUCGGAUCGUUAAUUCACAUUUUCACCUAACCACGAAUCGUAACGAACUUAGGUUCAAUUACCCAAUUUACGUCAAUCAAUUAUCAAAACUGAACCUAGAACAUUAAACACAUGCUAAGAAUGACAUUGGCGGGCCACUGGCCACGCACCACCGCACGGGCCGCCGCGGGUGGCGGUCGGCCAUCCCGGCUCGCCGGAAAAUUCAACUAUUUCUAAAAAUUACCAAAAUUUGUAUAUUUGAAGAUCUCAAUGAUUAGAACAACUUUCAUACUUGUGACCAAGGUCAAUUUGGCUUGGAAGCACUUCAAUUUCACCAAAAUCCGUGCGGACCCUAGAAUUUGGUGUGCUUCGAUUCGACCUCCAAACUUGUUCCAACGCCUCCACCACUACUUGGGCUUUGUUCCUGGGUUCUAGGAAAGUCUAAUGGUAGUGGUAAUUGAAGGAAAACGUUUCACAAGUGGUGGAUUUCGAGUAAUGUUCUUCACGGCACCCACUUUCGGUUUUUGAAUAAAUUACUACCAAAUUCCUUCUAAUUUUGAAUGGGAAUGGAAGAGGGAAGGCUAGGAAGUUUUUUCUAGGUCGUGGUUCGAGACAAUUCAUCGAAAAGUGGCUGGGAAAUAGGUGAAUUCGGCCUUGGAGCUCAACCGGGUCGCGCGGGUCAAUAAGAAGACCCGGCUGUUCCCCUCAUUUUCCUUCUCCCUCCUUUCCCUCCUUCCCCUUUUCUGGUUGGCUAUCCUCUCCUUCUCUCUUCUCCUGAUUGGCUAGCUCUCUCUCCUUUCUCUCCCGGAGCUCCUGCUUUCUUCCUCUGGUUGGGUAGCUUUGCCCAAUCUCUUCUUCUUCUUAUUCUCCAGUCACACACACACACACAAAACCUUCCUUCAUAUUUUUUUUUCCUUCGCUUACAUCCGAGCCAUCCAUUUCAGAUUUCCUUGGCACACCAAAUUUUAAUAAUAAAAUUCAUAAAAUGCCCAAACUUCAAACUUUAAAAUCUUUUUCGUUAUAACUCCAAAUCACGAACCGUCUGUGCCCACGCUUCCGUAGCGACGAGUACUACGAGGAUAUGUCAAGAAAACAAAUCUUAGAUAGCAUGACACAACGAUUAACCUCGAAUAAUGCACGUGCCUCAAAGGGCAUUUUUGUAAAAUUCUUUAUUAAAACUUUAAAAACUCUUAAAAUCAAGGACGGGUUGUCACAACGAGAGUAUUUAUAGUAUAGAAAGUAUAAAUACGAUAGAUUCAGACUCGAAAAAUUCAAGUAGUUCAAAUAAUGAUUUAGAAGGGUAUAUUUGUGCAUUCAUAUAAGAACAACAUGAAGAAGAGUACAAAUACAUUAAUUUAGGUUGGCCAGAAAAAUGUCACAAGUGUAGUAAAUUAGUUGCAAAUAAAUACUAUAAUAUAUAUUCAAUAUUGUGUGAAAAAUGUUAUAGUAAUAGGUUAUUAGAAAUUAAUUCAGCAGAAUCACAAGAAAGUACUGAACUAUUAGGAAAUAUUGUUCAUAAUAUAGAAAAACCAAAAAAUAGUUCCUUAAUUACCAUAAAUUGUGAAAUAAAAUUAGCAAAAAAAACACAAAAUACAAACAACCAUGAUAGAUACAUGAAGUACAAAGAGUGUGAUAAGAGACGAGUUAGUUCCGGAAAAAUAUAGACAAAAAUUAGCAAAACCAGUUAAAAUAACACAGUUUGAUAAACCAGUUUAUUUAACAUAUUGCAUUAAUAAUGAGUCUAUUAAAGUAGAAAAACAACAAUUUAAUUUACCAUUAACAUUUGUUUCACUAGUAGGAUCAUACCCAUUCAGUUUAGGUUUAAACUUUUUGAAAAGUUUGCAAAGUUUUUUAUUUAUGAAUCCUAACAUAACAUUUUUUAAGAAAGGUAUUAUAAUAACUGACCAAAUUAAUAUUGAAGCAUACAAAAGCAUAAGUAUAGAAAAGUCUAAUGGCCAAACUAGUUAUUAUUUAGAAAACUCAAAAGAAAAUGAUGAGCAUAAUAACAUAGAAGAGUUUGAUGAAAAAAUAUUUGAACAUGAAUAUCCAAUUUUAGAAGAAGGAACCAGUAUAGAAAUAUUAUAGUCAGAUAGACCAAAGAGUUUAGAAGAGUGAUUACAAUUAGCAGAACAAACUAGAAUCAUAGGAGAAGAUCCACAAUUGCAUUGGUGUUAAAAUAAAAUAUUAGCAAAAAUAGAUAUAAUUAACCUAGAUUUAACCAUUAAGACAGCUAAUAUACCUUGUAGUUUAUUAGAUAAACAAGAGUUUUACAGCAAAUAAAAGAGUUGUUAAAUUUAAAAGUAAUUAGACAUUCAAAGUCUAAACAUAAAUCAGCAACAUUUAUCGUAAGAAACAUUCAGAACUAAAGAGAUAAAAUGUUAGAAUAGUUUAUAACUACAAGAGGUUAAAUGAUAAUAUAUAUGAAUAUAGUUAUGAGUUACCAAAUAAGGAUGAACUUAUAAAUAAGAUUCAAGAGAGUAAAUAUUUUAGUAAAUUUGAUUGUAAAUUUUUGGCAAAUAAGAUUAGCAGAAGAAUCAAUUAAGUGGACAACUUUUACUUGUCCAUAAUGACAUUUUCAGUGGUUUGUUAUGCCAUUUGAACUUAAAAAAUGCUCCAUCGAUCUUUCAAAGAAAGAUAGAUCAAAUUUUCAAGAAAUAUGAUAAUUUUUGUAAUGUUUAUGUAUAUGAUAUUUUAGCACAUAGUAAAAAUAGAAAUGAACAUAGCAAGCACUUAGAGAUAAUUUUACAAGAAUUUGUCAAUAAUGAAAUUGUGAUUAGCAGAAAUAAAAUAGCAUUAGAAAUGCAAGAUAUAAAAUUUUUAAGAAUGUAUAUUAAGUCAAGUACAAUACAAUUACAAGAUCAUAUAGUUAAAAAAGUCUUAGAUUUUCCAAAUAAGAUAAAAAAACAAUUGCAAACAUUUUUAGGAUUGUUAAAUUAUGCAAGAAAUUUUAUCCCUCAUUUAGGAAGAAAAAUAGCAGUAUUACAUAGUAAAACUAGUAAAACAGGAUACAAGUAUUUUAAUAGUGAAGACAUUAAAUUAGUCCAAAAUAUAAAAGAAUUACUUUAGUCUAAAGGAAGCAUUGCAAUUGACACUGUUAUUUACUGUUCAUUGUACCUGGAUUUACAGUCAAGAAAAUGCCCUUUGAUUUCACCUUAUUUACAAGAAAGCCAUCUAAUUUGGGGCUGGGUUGGAGGGUAAUUAUGAAAAGAUAGGAGGGUAAUUUUGUGCGUGAGAUUUGGGUGCCUGCUAUACACGUGUUGGGCUGACCAUUACAUUGGGUUGCAUUCGUGGGAUCGACGGCUGUGUGGUGGGAUUUGGUGAGGGGAUGGGUUAGAGUGAGCCUUCAGCCAACUUUCUGGCUUCAUUUCCCCUUUCUCAAACCCUAGCAGCCACAACACCAUCUAUGGAAUAGCAUCGGCUUUUGCUUCCUAAAACCAAAACUACACAAACUCGGCUUUAUUUCUGUAACUCGAGCUUCGGUGAGAUGAAGGAGAAGAGCAGAGAGAUGGGCUCGAGUCGCCGGGCGGAAGAGAUCUUCAGGGAUUAACGAGAGAGAGAGGUCGAGCAAGGUUUCGUCGAUUUCAGUCAACUUGGGCUACCCCCAACGUCCAGUGAGGAAAAACCACUUUCGUGAAGAGGCAUCUCACUGGUGAAUUCGAGAAGAAAUACGAGCAUAAGAGACAUUUCUGACAUUUCCGUCCAUUGCGCCGUGUUGUUAGUUUGUUGUUAUAAUUAGUUUGACCUUGAUAUGUUUGCUUAUACUUAACAUUCAUUUUCUGUUACUUUUCUAUGCAAACAGCCACCAUUGGUGUGGAGGUUCAUCCACUGGACUUCUUCACAAAUUGUGGAAGGAUCCGCAUUUACUUCUGGGACACUGCUGGGCAAGAGAAGUUUGGCGGUCUUCGAGAUGGUCGCUACAUUCAUGGGCAAUGUGCAACUACAACUUAGAAACCCUCCUCUACUUGGCAAGGAAGCUUGCAGGUGACGCAAAUCUUCAUUUCGUCGAGUCUCCGACCCUUGCUCCUCCAGAAGUGCACUUUGACAUGGCUGCCUAACAAUAGCAUGAAGCUGAGCUUGCGGCAACAGCUGCCCAACCUCUUCCUGAUGACGAUGACGAGGCAUUUGAAUAGACGGGGAGAUGAUGCAUUUCAAUAUACCGUGGCAUAUUUCUUCUAGGAGAUGGCUUUCAUUCAUUCUGUCAAGAUUUGAUUUUCAAAGUGUCAUGUCUUAGAACAAAGGGCCUCUUUUAGUCAGAUUCAACUACAGCUACUAUUAGAUUGUCCCUAUUGAUAUUCU
rnacentral:sRNA from 1 species